rnacentral:rRNA from 1 species
AGCGUUGUCCGGAAUUAUUGGGCGUAAAGAGCUCGUAGGCGGUUUGUCGCGUCUGCUGUGAAAGCCCGGGGCUCAACCCCGGGUCUGCAGUGGGUACGGGCAGACUAGAGUGCAGUAGGGGAGACUGGAAUUCCUGGUGUAGCGGUGAAAUGCGCAGAUAUCAGGAGGAACACCGAUGGCGAAGGCAGGUCUCUGGGCUGUAACUGACGCUGAGGAGCGAAAGCAUGGGGAGCGAACAGGAUUAGAUACCCUGGUAGUCCAUGCCGUAAACGUUGGGCACUAGGUGUGGGGGACAUUCCACGUUUUCCGCGCCGUAGCUAACGCAUUAAGUGCCCCGCCUGGGGAGUACGGCCGCAAGGCUAAAACUCAAAGGAAUUGACGGGGGCCCGCACCAGCGGCGGAGCAUGCGGAUUAAUUCGAUGCAACGCGAAGAACCUUACCAAGGCUUGACAUGGACCGGACCGCCGCAGAAAUGCGGUUUCCCUUCGGGGCCGGUUUACAGGUGGUGCAUGGUUGUCGUCAGCUCGUGUCGUGAGAUGUUGGGUUAAGUCCCGCAACGAGCGCAACCCUCGUUCUAUGUUGCCAGCGCGUUAUGGCGGGGACUCAUAGGAGACUGCCGGGGUCAACUCGGAGGAAGGUGGGGACGACGUCAAAUCAUCAUGCCCCUUAUGUCUUGGGCUUCACGCAUGCUACAAUGGCCGGUACAAAGGGUUGCGAUACUGUGAGGUGGAGCUAAUCCCAAAAAGCCGGUCUCAGUUCGGAUUGAGGUCUGCAACUCGACCUCAUGAAGUCGGAGUCGCUAGUAAUCGCAGAUCAGCAACGCUGCGGUGAAUACGUUCCCGGGCCUUGUACACACCGCCCGUCAAGUCACGAAAGUUGGUAACACCCGAAGCCGGUGGCCUA